UACGUAGGGGGCAAGCAUUGUCCGGAAUCAUUGGGCGUAAAGAGCGCGUAGGCGGUCCGGUAAGUCGGUUGUGAAAACUGGGGGCUCAACCCUCAGAGGCCGACCGAUACUGCCGGGCUAGAGUCCGGAAGAGGCGAGUGGAAUUCCUGGUGUAGCGGUGAAAUGCGCAGAUAUCAGGAGGAACACCAAUGGCGAAGGCAGCUCGCUGGGACGGUACUGACGCUGAGGCGCGAAAGCGUGGGGAGCAAACAGG
rnacentral:rRNA from 1 species